rnacentral:rRNA from 1 species
AUUGAACGCUGGCGGCAGGCCUAACACAUGCAAGUCGAGCGAGCGGCGGACGGGUGAGUAAUGUCUGGGAAACUGCCUGAUGGAGGGGGAUCACUACUGGAAACGGUAGCUAAUAACGCAUACCAUCAGAUUUGCCCAGAUGGGAUUAGCUAGUAGGUGGGGUAACGGCUCACCUAGGCGACGAUCCCUAGCUGGUCUGAGAGGAUGACCAGCCACACUGGAACUGAGACACGGUCCAGACUCCGACGGGAGGCAGCAGUGGGGAAUAUUGGACAAUGGGCGAAAGCCUGAUGCAGCAAUGCCGCGUGUGUGAAGAAGGCCUUCGGGUUGUAAAGCACUUUCAGCGGGGAGGCGUUACCCGAAGAGGAAGCACCGGCUAACUCCGUGCCAGCCGCCGCGGUAAUUC